rnacentral:tRNA from 1 species
GCCGCAGAAGCACAACGGCUGUGCAGCCGCUUCGUAAGCGGCAGGCUGUGGGUUCAAAUCCCAUCUGCGGCUC